UCUCUCAACAACGCAGAGACUUGAACCUCCCUUAGCUAGUACUUCAAUCCGGCCUUCAUGAUAUUCCCUUCUUCUGACUUCACCAUGGACCAAAUAUCAUUUGAUGUCAACACAGAACAGAGCUUCGUCCAGCUCCCUCUAGAACCAAACGGUCGGAAUAAAAACAUGGGCUCGCACGACCAAAUACCACCGAUCCAGCAAAAUCCAGGAAAUAGAAGCAUUGUUACAUUCGCCGGCGGCGCCCUCCGGAACUGAACUCUGGCCAGAUCGAGAAGGGCAGGCCUCAGGUAGGUCUUUAUCUUCGCCCAAGAGAGACCCUAGGACCACCGCCUUUAUUCAGGUCGGACCCCCACGUCGGCAACCAUCCCAGGGUGGCCAAGGUUGCCGCCGGAGACACCAAGCGCAGAUCGCGUAGUCCAAAGACACCGCACAAGUCUGGGCACCGCCGCAGCCGAAACGCCAGCCCUCUACCGCUACCGCUGGCCACCGAGAGGCGAGGAGAAGAGGGCCCAGUGCACCACCACAUCGUCGUCUGUUCUGCCGCCGUCGAGCCGAGCCCACGCGCCGCCACCGAGGCCCCUGACGAGAGGGCCGUGCCCUAGCCCGAGGAGGAAGUCACGCGUCCACCCCCCGCGCGCGAGAGGAUGAGGAGUCCCCGCCGCCGGCGCGAGUGGCGGUGAGGGAGGGAAGGGGGAGAGGGGGUGGCGGCGGCGCGGUAGGGUUUCUCCCGGCCUCCACGUGGGGGCGACACGGGAUAUGGGAGAGAGUUCGUCGACUCGAAUCACCGCCUCUGCUGGGCUGCAGCCGCCCCCUCCCCAUCCCCUCUUCCUUCCGUUGUCACCCCCGUCUUGAUGGUUACCGGGAGCUCCAGGCGCCGGUCGUUGCGCUGGAACGGCGCCGCGCCCCUUCUCCCUCUCGCAGCUCUUCAUCGGGGCCUCCCCCUCGGUGGCUCCGGCGAGGUCAGGCAGCUGCACGAGGCGGGCAAGCUGCGCCUCCUCCUCGAGGGUGCCGUGGGGCAGGUACAAGGACGACUGCCGGACGAGCCUUCCUCUGUGGCGCCUGCUCGGCUUUGUUCCCUGCCCCGCCUGCGCGAGAUCCGGCAAGAUCUUCGUCGAGGAGGAAGGAGGCACCGGUGUUGCGAGUUGCGACGACUGGGCUUGGCGCCUCCAUCGAUGGGAUUCAUCUUCGUUCCAACUUACUAAGGUACUGUAUCUCCCGAAAAAAGUGUGAACUAAGGCAGGUUAAUGGCGUUAAGAAAAUCAGUCUGCUAGGUAAGAAUAAAUCCAUUACUUCUAAUAACCAUAUUUUUUGUGAAGUUUUCUUGGUCCAUGUAUUUUUCUCAAAAUUUCAUUGAGAUAGUAGCAACUGUUUGUUUGGUCUGUCUACAUGAAGAAAUGCAAACCUCUUCUUAUUGUCAAUCAAGAAAUAUGAAUAGAUCCACGGGGUUUCCCUUUGUCAUAGUCCAUGCUAUGAAUUACUUUUAUAUGGGAGAAAUCAGUAUCCUUCCUGUGUAUCUUUACAAAAUUAUCGGAAUAGUGAACUGAAGUAGUCAAUUUACUCACUGAUGUAAACAAUUCACCAUUGUCAUAUUUUCUAGAAAAUCAGAAUAUAUAAUAUCCGUGCAUGGUUAUUUUCCUACUACGAAGGUUUUUAGAAGGCAUAAUCUAUUUAUUUGUCAACUUUUAGGCAGGGACGAUACUGGAAAAAAAUGCCAUAGGGGUCAUCACUAUAAUCUCUAUCAUAGUGGGGGUAAUCCUCUAUAAAUUAUCACUUGCCAACACUAAUUAGUAAAGGAUUUUGUAUUUUUAUUAGGCCAGUUGACCCCAAUGGCAUGGCAGCUCUGUCAGGUCUUGUAGGCAACCUUCCGUCUACAUAUAGAGUUUUGUUCUUCAGUUUGACAUGAACUAGCUGAAUCUUAAGUCAAUUCUUCAGGUUCCGUUGCCGAAUUUAUAUCCAGCAAGAUAAAAAGAUGUUCUCAAUUUAUCGGUUUGAUCGGCGACUUCGCAUUCAGCAAACUAAGAAGAUUUUCUUAGACAAAGUGUUCUCAAAUAAAAGUUUUUCAGGUUUUGUUGGCGGCAUGGCAUCAAUGCUUAUUUGAGGUAGAUACUUCGGUGAGGAAAAUCCUGAAAAGUUCUACAGCCAGGUAGUUCCUCUAAUUAAUUGUAGCAGUCUCAUAGAGGAGAUCAGCUGAGCAUGAUUGACAUUUCCCCCUCCUGGUGCUUAGACAUAUCUGUGUAUUACCUAAAUAAACUUAUCAGCGCUCCUUCAGUUCUCUUUGGCAAGGUCGAUUUAGUUACGCAUGUGACAUUUUUCUUCUUCUGUGUUGUGUUUCCUCAACAAGGUGCUACAUGCAAGGGAAGGUGCGAAGAGCAUGAUUAAUAGGACAUUUGUAGACCUUCCUUGGUAAGUUAGGUUAGAGGUUUAUGGAGCUGAGAUUGAUAUACUAGAGGUUUGAUAAGAAGAAUCUUUGCGACUAUUCUAUCAAGUCUUGCUUACACAACAUUUCUCAUAUUGCCCUUGCUUUUCUUGGUUUUGCCAACACCGCACAAAUUUGUGUGUUCACGCCUAUCAUGCAUGGUAUAGUUUUGCAUUUAUAUCCAUUCAGACUCAUUUUCUAAUUUUAUACCGAUGGCAAAUUAGGCCAAUUUUCUCAGUUUGCCCUUAAUAAUACAUAAAUAUCUAAAUAAGGCGAUGGUUAUGACCUUUAUUUCUUGGUAUUUUAUCUUGAUAUUUUAGUUAGCCAUUUGUGCAUGUUAUAAGUUCAGCUAAAUAUCAGCAUAAUUAUGAGGUAAAUAUUUCUUCUCUGAUUUUAUUUAGUAAUGUUAAUGUAUGAUUACCAUGGUUGGAUGUCUUCCUUGUGUAGAGCCUGCACCAUUUUUUUGAAAUCGUCUUAUUUUUAUGUUUCUAAUUAUCCAGACUAAAAAAAUGAUAGGUAAUAGUAACACCUAAAUAUAUCUUACAUAUUUGCAUGACUACAUCUUAUUUCUUCUCAAGAAAUCUUAAAUGAGUAUAUAUUCAGAUAGUUGAGUUUUUAAACAGGCAGAAUAUGGGUUCCACAUGUUUGAUAAGCUUAUGGGUGUAGUAAAAUUUUGUAGUGCCACUACUUACUGACUUUGGCCCUCAAUUGUUACAUACAUCAUGGCAUAUAUAUAUAUAUCUGCUUAUUUCAGUUGUAGUAGAAUUUUUUAGUGCUGUCUGAGCUUACUCACUUUUUGGUAGCACCAAUGGGUGAUAAACUUUCUACUUUGCCUGCUUUUAGUGUUGAUUUAUGUUACAUGUUCACUUUAGCACACUUUAUUUGGAACCAGGACAUGGACAUUGAUCAAUUGGUGUGUUUUCAAGGUCAACUAGCAAGUUUGUGUUUUAGUGUGUGAAUGACAAUAAUUUCAGGAUUCCAUUUUCAUGUCUGCAGUAUACACAUCCGAGGUCAUUGACGGUGGUUAUUUUCGUGAGCUUCUUCACAAAAUUCUGAGAUUUGACAGCUUGCCAUUUAUCUCAUUUGUAACAAAGUGUUGCAACUAAUUUAGAAAGUCGUCAUUCAGCUCCUUUGGUUUUGGCAAUAAGUAUGUUCUACUUAACUGAUAUUCAAUUCUGAGUUGUAGAUUAUUAUCUGUUGUAGCCUCACACGGUUAGCUUCAUGGUUUUGUAUGUAGCUAUUUGUUGUUA